GGUUUUUCAAUACAGAAAUCAUGAAUUGAAUUAGAUUUGCGUGAACUAAAAACUUGAAUCCAGAUGAACUAAUUUUGAUGAACUGAAUUUGAAUUCAGUGAACUAAACUUUGAGAUUAUGAUGAGUAUUUCAAGUGAACUGAAUAUGAAACUAGUGAACUAGACUUGUGAUUUGAUGACCCCAAAAUUUGAACUUUGUGAGCUAGAUUUGCGUGAACUAAAAACUUGAAUCCAGGUGAUCAUAUUUUAAUGAACUGAAUUAGAUGGUGUUUUUUAGUGAACUAAACUUUAAGAUUAUGAUGAGAAUUGUGGUGAACUGACUGUGAAUCUAGUGAACUAAAAUUAUGAUUUGAUGAACCGAAUUUGAACUUGGUGAACUGAAUUAUCAUUGUAUAAUUUGGUUUUAAAAAAAAGUUCACUAAAAUAAGAAACAACUGGCCUGGUUUUUCAAUACAGAAAUCAUGAAAUGAAUUAGAUUUGCGUGAACUAAAACUUGAAUCCAGAUGAACAAAUUUAGAUGAACUGAAUUUGAAUUCAGUGAACUAAACUUUGAGAUUAUGAUGAGUAUUGAAGUGAACUAAAUAUGAGUCUAGUGAACUAAAAUUAUGACUUGAUGAACUAAAUUUGAACUUGGUGAACUAGAUUUGCGUGAACUAAAAACUUGAAUCCAGGUGAACAUAUUUUAAUGAACUGAAUUAGAUGGUGUUUUUAGUGAACUAAACUUUAACACUAUGAUGAGAAUUGUGGUGAACUGAAUGUGAAUCUAGUGAACUAAAAUUAUGAUUUGAUGAACCGAAUUUGAACUUGGUGAAGUGAAUUAUCAAUGUAUAAUUUGGUUUUUAAAAAAAGUUAACUAAAAUAAAAAACAACUGGCCUGGUUUUUCAAUACAGAAAUCAUGAAAAGAAUUAGAUUUGCGUGAACUAAAACUUGAAUCCAGAUGAACAAAUUUAGAUGAACUGGAUUUGAAUUCAGUGAACUAAACUUUGAGAUUAUGAUGAAUAUUGAAGUGAACUAAAUAUGAGUCUAGUGAACUAAAAUUAUGAUUUGAUGAACUAAAUUUUAACUUGGUGAACUAGAUUUGCGUGAACUAAAAACUUGAAUCCAUGUGAACAUAUUUUAAUGAACUGAAUUAGAUGGUGUUUUUUAGUGAACUAAACUUUAAGAGUAUGAUGAGAAUUGUGGUGAACUGAAUGUGAAUCUAGUGAACUAAAAUUAUGAUUUGAUGAACCGAAUUUGAACUUGGUGAACUGAAUUAUCAAUGUAUAAUUUGGUUUUUUAAAAAAAAGUUCACUAAAAUAAAAAACAAUUGGCCUGGUUUUUCAAUACAGAAAUCAUGAAAUGAAUUAGACUUGCGUGAACUAAAAACUUGAAUCCAGAUGAACUAAUUUUGAUUAACUGAAUUUGAAUUCAGUGAGCUAAACUUUGAGAUUAUGAUGAGUAUUGAAGUGAACUGAAUAUGAAUCUAGUGAACUAAAAUUGUGAUUCGAUGACCCCAAAAUUUGAACUUUGUGAGCUAGAUUUGCAUGAACUAAAAACUUGAAUGUUUUUUAGUGAACUAAACUUUAAGAUUAUGAUGAGAAUUGUGGUGAACUGAAUGUGAAUCUAGUGAACUAAAAUUAUGAUUUGAUUAACCGAAUUUGAACUUGGUGAACUGAAUUAUCAAUGUAUAAUUUGGUUUUAAAAAAAAUUCACUAAAAUAAAAAACAACUGGCCUGGUUUUUCAAUACAGAAAUCAUGAAAUGAAUUAGAUUUGCGUGAACUAAAAACUUGAAUCCAGAUGAACUAAUUUAGAUGAACUGAAUUUGAAUUCUGU
rnacentral:lncRNA from 1 species